GACGAACGCUGGCGGCGUGCUUAACACAUGCAAGUCGAUCGGAAAGGCCCAGCUUGCUGGGUACUCGAGUGGCGAACGGGUGAGUAACACGUGGGUGAUCUGCCCUGCACUCUGGGAUAAGCCUGGGAAACUGGGUCUAAUACCGGAUAUGAUCAACUGUCGCAUGGUGGUUGGUGGAAAGCUUUUGCGGUGUGGGAUGGGCCCGCGGCCUAUCAGCUUGUUGGUGGGGUAAUGGCCUACCAAGGCGACGACGGGUAGCCGACCUGGGAGGGUGAUCGGCCACACUGGGACUGAGACACGGCCCAGACUCCUACGGGAGGCAGCAGUGGGGAAUAUUGCACAAUGGGCGCAAGCCUGAUGCAGCGACGCCGCGUGGGGGAUGACGGCCUUCGGGUUGUAAACCUCUUUCACCAGGGACGAAGCGUGAGUGACGGUACCUGGAGAAGAAGCACCGGCCAACUACGUGCCAGCCGCCGCCGUAA
rnacentral:rRNA from 1 species